rnacentral:rRNA from 1 species
ACGCUGGCGGCGUGCUUAACACAUGCAAGUCGAACGGUGAAGCCAAGCUUGCUUGGUGGAUCAGUGGCGAACGGGUGAGUAACACGUGAGCAACCUGCCCUGGACUCUGGGAUAAGCGCUGGAAACGGCGUCUAAUACUGGAUAUGAGCNUCUUCCGCAUGGUGGGGGUUGGAAAGAUUUUUUGGUCUGGGAUGGGCUCGCGGCCUAUCAGCUUGUUGGUGAGGUAAUGGCUCACCAAGGCGUCGACGGGUAGCCGGCCUGAGAGGGUGACCGGCCACACUGGGACUGAGACACGGCCCAGACUCCUACGGGAGGCAGCAGUGGGGAAUAUUGCACAAUGGGCGGAAGCCUGAUGCAGCAACGCCGCGUGAGGGAUGACGGCCUUCGGGUUGUAAACCUCUUUUAGCAGGGAAGAAGCGAAAGUGACGGUACCUGCAGAAAAAGCGCCGGCUAACUACGUGCCAGCAGCCGCGGUAAUACGUAGGGCGCAAGCGUUAUCCGGAAUUAUUGGGCGUAAAGAGCUCGUAGGCGGUUUGUCGCGUCUGCUGUGAAAUCCCGAGGCUCAACCUCGGGCCUGCAGUGGGUACGGGCAGACUAGAGUGCGGUAGGGGAGAUUGGAAUUCCUGGUGUAGCGGUGGAAUGCGCAGAUAUCAGGAGGAACACCGAUGGCGAAGGCAGAUCUCUGGGCCGUAACUGACGCUGAGGAGCGAAAGGGUGGGGAGCAAACAGGCUUAGAUACCCUGGUAGUCCACCCCGUAAACGUUGGGAACUAGUUGUGGGGACCAUUCCACGGUUUCCGUGACGCAGCUAACGCAUUAAGUUCCCCGCCUGGGGAGUACGGCCGCAAGGCUAAAACUCAAAGGAAUUGACGGGGACCCGCACAAGCGGCGGAGCAUGCGGAUUAAUUCGAUGCAACGCGAAGAACCUUACCAAGGCUUGACAUACACCAGAACGGGCCAGAAAUGGUCAACUCUUUGGACACUGGUGAACAGGUGGUGCA